rnacentral:rRNA from 1 species
UAAGAGGUCCUGCCUGCCCCGUGACUAAAUGUUUAACGGCCGCGGUAUUUUAACCGUGCGAAGGUAGCGCAAUCACUUGUCUUUUAAAUGGAGACCUGUAUGAAUGGCAAGACGAGGGCUUAACUGUCUCCUCCCCCGAGUCAAUGAAAUUGAUCUCCCCGUGCAGAAGCGGGGAUACUAACAUAAGACGAGAAGACCCUAUGGAGCUUUAGAUAUAAGGCGGGCCGCGUUAAGAACCUCACGAAAAAGAGAAGAACCAGCUGGACACCGCCCAAAUGUCUUUGGUUGGGGCGACCGCGGGGCAACACCAAACCCCCAUGUGGACCGGGGUUACUAACCCUACAGCCAAGAGCUCCCGCUCUAAGCACCAGAAACAUCUGGCCAAACAGAUCCGGCAACGCCGAUCAACGAACCGAGUUACCCUAGGGAUAACAGCGCAAUCCUCUUUUAGAGCCCAUAUCGACAAGGGGGUUUACGACCUCGAUGUUGGAUCAGGACAUCCUAAUGGUGCAGCCGCUAUUAAGGGUUCGU